GCAAGGAAUAUGUGGUGGAAACAGCCUCAGCACUCCAGUCACCCUCACUCUCUCCUCUCUCCUCUCUCUCAGCUGCUGCUGCUGCAAUGUGUUCUGUCAUUGCCAAGCUCCCUUCGCUUCCACUCUCCCUCUCCAUCGUCUCCUCAUCUUCUUCUUCCUCCAAAGAUGGGAAAACCAACUCAAAGUCGGUGAAGCUGAGAGAGGACUGGCGGCAACGCUCCAGGCCCAUUCCACCCGGCGGCACUUACCCGGCUAAAGACCACUGCAGUCGUUGCGGGUUGUGUGACACAUAUUACAUAGCCCAUGUCAAGGAAGCUUGUGCUUUCUUAGGAGAUGGAAUGUCUAAGAUUGAAGGUUUGGAACCUGUAGUUCAUGGUAGAGGGAGGAAACCGGGUUCCUCAGAUGAAAUGUACUUGGGUGUCUAUGAAGAGCUCUUGUAUGCUCGUAAAGUAAAGCCUGUCGAAGGAGCUCAGUGGACAGGAAUAGUAACAACUGUUGCAAUCGAAAUGCUGAAAUCAGGCAUGGUGGAGGCCGUCAUUUGUGUACAGAGUGACCCAAACGACAGAUUUACUCCGCGACCUGUAUUAGCAAGGACACCAGAGGAAGUUCUAGCUGCUAGAGGUGUCAAGCCGACAUUAUCUCCUAAUCUGAAUACUCUUGCCCUAGUUGAGGCUGCAGGUGUAAAAAAGCUUCUAUUCUGUGGUGUGGGUUGCCAGGUGCAAGCAUUACGAUCUGUGGAGCACCACUUAAAUUUGGACAAGCUCUACGUGCUAGGAACAAAUUGCGUGGACAACGGGACUCGAGAAGGCCUUGAUAAGUUUCUGAAGGCUGCGAGUAGUGAACCAGAGACAGUUCUUCAUUACGAGUUUAUGCAAGAUUACAAGGUUCACUUGAAGCAUUUGGAUGGUCAUAUUGAAGAGGUUCCUUAUUUUUCUCUGCCAGCAAAUGACUUAGUUGAUGUAAUUGCUCCUUCUUGUUAUAGCUGUUUCGACUAUACAAACGGUUUAGCGGAUUUAGUUGUUGGAUACAUGGGGGUGCCAAAAUAUUCUGGAAUCAGCAUGACUCAACAUCCACAGUAUGUUACGGUAAGAAAUGAACGUGGAAGAGAGAUGCUCAGUCUGAUUAAAAAGCAUUUGGAGAUCACUCCAACAACUAGUAGUGGUACUCGCCGACCAUUUACCAUGGAGACUGUUAAGGCUGAUGAUACUGCUAAGAUGGGAAAAGGUCCUGAGCCUGCACCAAAGUUUGUCGGCAAUGUGAUCGCUUUCUUGUUAAACUUGAUUGGGCCAAAAGGUUUGGAAUUUGCUCGUUAUUCGCUCGAUUACCAUACCAUCCGGAACUACCUAUAUGUAAACCGAACAUGGGGAAAACAAAGAGCUGAUCAGCAUAUGCCUUCAUAUGCAAAGAAGAUUGUCGAUUCCUACAACAAGAAUGGUGAAAUCGAUCGGAUUCUUUCCACCAAGCCCAAGUGAUCGCAUUAGCUGGUGAAAAUGUAAAUGAAGUGGGAACUUCAAUGUCUAUGGAAUUUUGUCCUUAAUCUGUUCUCUCAUGCAGGGUUACCAUGUCUCUACGGUUGAAGUGACCGAAUAAAGUACGAUGUUAUAGUCAAAGAUCAGCGGCGAGAGGGAUGAAUUAUCUAUCAAACACGAAGGAAUGGGGGGUUUUCAGGUGUAACCAGGGAAGGAUACGGGUGGUGGGUUAACUCCCCAUGUGCUUUCGUAAUUUCGAUGGCAGGGUCGAGUAAUGAGCCUUAGAAAAUCCGAGUGAGAAUUGACAAAAGUGCAGUUGCAGAAUUCAUUCUGUAGGGCCUUUACUUCUUUGCCUGGAAAGAGAGAGCCACAAGUAGCAUAUGCAAAUGAAUUGGUUUUUCUUCGUUUAGAAUAUUUUGGUUUGUGGUGGUAAAGAAAUUUAGGGUGUUCUCUGUAAACUUCAUCUACAUGUCUGAAUAAAAAGCAUGGGGACUUAAUAUGGGUUGUCCCUUUACUACUACA